CUCGGCCCCUCCCUGCCUUCUUUCCUGGUUCUGCAUGAAGCUCAUUCCCUUUCUCCCUUCAGUUAUGGCCCAGCCAGGGGCCCCUCACCAAGAUACUAUUGCCAUGUCAUUGGAUCCUCCAGCCAUAAGAAUCAUGAGCCAAGGAAAUCUCUUUAUAAGUUAUCAGAUGAGAUCUCCUCCUCUACAACCUCUUGUUGUUGGAAGACAAUCACCUACAAUCCCGAAGUAAAAGACAGAGAGGAAGAAUCAUUGGCUCAGCUGUGAUCACAUGACAGCCGGCAUCACAUACCACGCAUAUUCUGAACAUAGAACAAAUGUAAAGCAUCAGCCUAAGUGAAGAAGAUGAGCUUGGAAAAUACUGUCACCAUGUCCAAUAUCGGCACAUGUUUCCUUCCUCUCACUUGGGCUCAACUGUGCUAAUUAAUGAGUUGAGUGAAUAGCAGCCAUUAGUCACUGGUAGACUCUUCUCUGAAACUCUGUUUGACUUUUUUGAAUUGUCACUUGAGACAGGGUGAAAGGGAGCCACACCAAAUCUUCUGGAAUUCCAAAUGGACAGAGAGAGAUCAUACCAGGCACCAUCAUCACCCAUCAAACUGAAUAUGUUAGAUUUGCAAACCCCAGGAUGGGGCUGGAAGGAAUGUGGAGAGGAGAGUAGGUAGCAGAGCUGAGAGAGCCCAUGGACUACAAACCCAGCUUGGUUCAUCACAACUGGAAA
rnacentral:lncRNA from 1 species